AGAGUUUGAUCCUGGCUCAGAGUGAACGCUGGCGGCAGGCCUAACACAUGCAAGUCGAACGGCAGCACAGAGGAGCUUGCUCCUUGGGUGGCGAGUGGCGGACGGGUGAGGAAUACAUCGGAAUCUGCCCAGUCGUGGGGGAUAACAUAGGGAAACUUAUGCUAAUACCGCAUACGACCUACGGGUGAAAGCGGGGGAUCGCAAGACCUCGCGCGAUUGGAUGAGCCGAUGUCCGAUUAGCUAGUUGGCGGGGUAAUGGCCCACCAAGGCGACGAUCGGUAGCUGGUCUGAGAGGAUGAUCAGCCACACUGGAACUGAGACACGGUCCAGACUCCUACGGGAGGCAGCAGUGGGGAAUAUUGGACAAUGGGCGCAAGCCUGAUCCAGCCAUGCCGCGUGGGUGAAGAAGGCCUUCGGGUUGUAAAGCCCUUUUGUCCGGAAAGAAAAGCUCGAGGUUAAUACCUUCGGGUUCUGACGGUACCGGAAGAAUAAGCACCGGCUAACUUCGUG
rnacentral:rRNA from 1 species